rnacentral:rRNA from 1 species
GACGAACGCUGGCGGCGUGCUUAACACAUGCAAGUCGAACGGAAAGGCCCUGCUUUUGUGGGUUGCUCGAGUGGCGAACGGGUGAGUAACACGUGAGUAACCUGCCCUUGACUUUGGGAUAACUUCAGGAAACUGGGGCUAAUACCGGAUAGGAGCUCCUGCUGCAUGGUGGGGGUUGGAAAGUUUCGGCGGUUGGGGAUGGACUCGCGGCUUAUCAGCUUGUUGUUGGGGUAGUGGCUUACCAAGGCUUUGACGGGUAGCCGGCCUGAGAGGGUGACCGGCCACAUUGGGACUGAGAUACGGCCCAGACUCCUACGGGAGGCAGCAGUGGGGAAUAUUGCACAAUGGGCGGAAGCCUGAUGCAGCAACGCCGCGUGCGGGAUGACGGCCUUCGGGUUGUAAACCGCUUUCGCCUGUGACGAAGCGUGAGUGACGGUAAUGGGUAAAGAAGCACCGGCUAACUACGUG